rnacentral:rRNA from 1 species
GGGUUGUGAGGUUAAGCGACUAAGCGUACACGGUGAAUGCCCUGGCAGUCAGAGGCGAUGAAGGACGUGCUAAUCUGCGAUAAGCGUCGGUAAGGUGAUAUGAACCGU